rnacentral:lncRNA from 1 species
UUAAAUUAAUUAUGCGAAGACCAUUUAAAAAUAGAGAAGCUUUUAGAAAAAUUAAAGAAUCAUUAAUUAGUAAUUAUUCAGAAUAUAUAAGUCUAAAUAAAACAAAAGAAAAUCCACAAAAACUAGCCUAUUUAAUUACAUUAAUAUCUAGUAUUGAAUCAAAAUUAAUAACACAUUUAAAAUCUAGAAGAAUGAAACAUAC